UUGAUCCAUGGAAUCAUCUGAGAUUUGAGGAAGAUCGAGCUCAGAGAUCGAUUAAUCAGGCACAGCAGCCGACGCGAGAAGAUUCACGCAAUUUCUUUCCAUUUCCUUCAAACGAGCAAGUUCCGCAUCCACAGUCAAGCCUCCAUCCUUGAGCUCGGUCAAGAGAUCGAUAUUCGCAACCACCUCCUGUAGCUGAAUAUCAGCAGAUAUUUCAUUCUUCUUGCUCGCCCACCUAUCUUUCAAGGAUUCAAGGACCUCCCGAUACUUGGCCGCAGUGUCGCGACGAG
rnacentral:lncRNA from 1 species